ACCUGUAGUGCAAUGAAUAGUACGUUGAACUAUUAAACCGAAGAUAGUGGGUUCGAACCCCACCAGAGGUG